rnacentral:rRNA from 1 species
UACAGAGGGUGCAAGCGUUGUUCGGAAUUAUUGGGCGUAAAGGGCGCGUAGGCGGUGCCACAAGUCACCUGUGAAAUCUCCGGGCUUAACUCGGAGCCUGCAGGCGAAACUGUGGUGCUGGAGUGUGGGAGAGGUGCGUGGAAUUCCCGGUGUAGUGGUGAAAUGCGUAGAUAUCGGGAGGAACACCAGUGGCGAAGGCGACUACCUGGCUUGUUUCUUGACGCUGAGGCGCGAAAGCUAGGGGAGCAAACGGG